rnacentral:rRNA from 1 species
AACGAACGCUGGCGGCAUGCCUAACACAUGCAAGUCGAACGAGACCUUCGGGUCUAGUGGCGCACGGGUGCGUAACGCGUGGGAACCUGCCCUUAGGUUCGGAAUAACUCCCCGAAAGGGGUGCUAAUACCGGAUAAUGUCUUCGGACCAAAGAUUUAUCGCCUUUGGAUGGGCCCGCGUUGGAUUAGCUAGUUGGUAGGGUAAAAGCCUACCAAGGCGACGAUCCAUAGCUGGUCUGAGAGGAUGAUCAGCCACACUGGAACUGAGACACGGCCCAGACUCCUACGGGAGGCAGCAGUGGGGAAUAUUGGACGAUGGGCGAAGGCCUGAUCCAGCAAUGCCGCGUGAGUGAUGAAGGCCUUAGGGUUGUAAAGCUCUUUUACCCGGGAUGAUAAUGACAGUACCGGGAGAAGAAGCUCCGGCUAACUCCGUG